CCUACGGGCGGCAGCAGUGGGGAAUAUUGCACAAUGGGGGAAACCCUGAUGCAGCGACGCCGCGUGAAGGAAGAAGUAUUUCGGUAUGUAAACUUCUAUCAGCAGGGAAGAAAAUGACGUUACCUGACUAAGAAUCCCCGGCUAACUACGUGCCAGCAGCCGCGGUAAUACUUAGGGGGCAAGCGUUAUCCGGAUUUACUGGGUGUAAAGGGGGCGCAGACGGCGAUGCAAGCCAGGAGUGAAAGCCCGGGGCGCAACCCCGGGACUGCUCUUGGAACUGCGUGGCUGGAGUGCAGGAGGGGCAGGCGGAAUUCCUGGUGUAGCGGUGAAAUGCGUAGAUAUCAGGAGGAAAAACGGUGGCGAAGGCGGCCUGCUGGACUGCAACUGACGUUGAGGCCCGAAAGCGUGGGGAGCAAACAGGAUUAGAUACCCGGGUAGUC
rnacentral:rRNA from 1 species